AGGGGAUUGGUUGGGUCGCGGCGGCAGUCCAGACUCCACAGCGGAGGAGACCUGCGAGACCGCGCGAGACUGGCUUCCGGCGUGAGCGGCGCGGCGAACACCCCUCCUAGCCGCGGCCAGAGCCUCGCAAGCCGCGGGGGCCCCGCCCACAAUCCUGGCCCCGCCCCCGGCCUCUGCGGGCACGCCACCCCUCUGCAGCCUCCACGGGCCCCGCGCCGGCCCCCCCACGUGGCUUGUUCUCUGGCGGCUCUGAUUGGCCAGCUCCCGUCGCGCAGACCCUGCGUCCUUUCACCUGCUGGGUCGCUGCGCUGCCCUCACCGAGCGAGGGUCUGAGGCCGGAAUGCAGGACCAUGAGGGUUUUCCGAUCGCUCUCCGCUGAUGUUUUUCUCGUUUCCCGCUGAGGGCGAGAGCUCUGGGAAAGGAGCUGAACCUGGUGGAAUCUUCAGGUGAUGAAGAUGGAGACUUCAGGUCUGAGUCGGCCGGAAAGAAAAGAGGUCUUACUGAAUUGACUUCAAAGAAGAAUAAGGGAACUUGUAAGACUCCUGGAUUAGAGACCAUCCACAGGGCAUCCUUGGGAGCCAUGACCUGAAGGUGGACAAGCCACAGGAUGGAAGGAGCUGCAUCCCUGAGUCACCACUGAAGAACAGUCACCCCCAAUGGAUUUGGAGAGAAAUCUUUUCUAAUAUCCACCUUUAAGUCCCAGUUGUAAUCCACUUCUUUCAUUCUCCCAGUGCUCAGUGCGGUUUAGAGGAAAUUCUAGAUUCUCGUAAUAUCUUGGUCAUGGAUGAUAAGGAAAGGGCCUUUACAUACAUGUGAGGCAAAGUGGAUCAGGACGAGCAGAGCAGAGUGAGAGCGGUAAGGCUCCACAGGGUAAGGAAGGCCCGGCAGGAGAGCAGAGCAGUGGUGCAGAGGCAGGCAGCUGAGGGAGGUGGGCAGUGCCGUCAGGAUGAGGCCUCUGGGUGUGUCAGCAUCCAGUGGAGACUGGCAGAGCUAUAUAGACAAACUGAUAAAAAGCUCUACCUACUGCAGUCACAAAGGCUCAGGCUCAAAAUGAUGGAUACAUUAGGGAUUAACAUCUCCAUUUUAUUGACAAGGAAAUUAAGUUUUACGGAGAUUAGAAUGUUUGUCUUUGUAGCUAGUAGAGUGCUUAGUUCGCAGUAGAUGCACAAUAAAUAUUUGUUGAAUGAA